AUGGGAGGGGGUGGGGGGUACUGCCUAUUACAGACACUUCAUGGCAUUAGGCCCCGCCCCGCCCCUUCACCAUACACACGCGAAUUCGCGACAUUUUGCCCGCUGGGGGGCGGGGCUACGGUUAUUACUCACGCCCACUCUACCCUAUACAAGAAAUAAAACUCACCAACUGCGCUGAUCCCUGGGGCCGGCAGGAAGGGUUAUUUCACUCUGCAGCAGCUCCCCGCCCACUCCUUCAUGCAAACACAGGCAUCUAGCAGCUCCAACACACUAACACUUUGCCCUGUCCCCGGGAUGCCUGCAGUGCCCGAGCCCGGCUCUCAGCGGCUGUACGGCACCUGGAGAUGUGUACAGCGCUACACGCGGGACUUUCCCCGCAGCAGCACCGCAGCUAUACCUGCCCACCAAGCGCGGAGUUUCUGUCGGCGGAACCAGCACAACAUACAUAGGAGAUGUGAUUCAGCACAGGGCGCCCAGGGACCUUGGAAUCCUAGCGCUAAAUCCGCCCCGUGAUGCGGGACCCUCACCGUGGCGGGAGAUGUCGGGGUGUCAUCGCCGUGACGGGAGCGGGAGACAUUGAAGCUGCCAAUUCAGCCGUUGUUAUUCGAAAACCGUUGGGAUGAUCAGGCGGCUCGCGGCUCUGAUGUGGGCGUGGCUUACAGUGAGGGCUCGAGACGUUCCCUGUAGGCGUGGCCCGAAGACGCACUGACCUUCUUCCUAUUCGGGACUCCGCUGGGGUUUCCAAAUGGUAGAUGCUAGAAUCAAGUGGGCUAAGGGACCUUUUCCGUAAGGGGGAGGAGUUACGACGCAAGGGGGAGGAGCUAGGCCAGCGGGAUAGUUCCUCUACUAUCCACCCCACCAACUAUUACCUUUAGUAAUCAGGUGGCGAGCGAAGCGAACCUGCGAGGGUACUUUUCGGGUACCCUGUCCGCCCGUAGCUCCUCCCCCUGGUGACGUGUCUCCUCCCCUAGGUACGUCACAAGGUCCCUUCUACCACUCCGAUAUAGAUGCGCAGGGUGUUGACCCCCCCCCCCCCCCCCCGUCAGGCCGUAGUGGUUGCUGGGAGGUCGGGGGCGGAGCCAGUGCGAGGUGUCGAGCAGGGAAGCAUUGAACUUCCCUGCCGUCUCCGCACUACAGUUCAGGUUACGCUGUCCUGAGAUGGCGAACCUGAACUCCAUGGAGAAGCGCACCUUCAUGAAUCGCACUCACCAUACAAAAGGUAUGGUGAUGCGAUUCAGGCACAGAGCAGGGGUACCGCUGGAGAAGUCAGAGACUUCUCCACGGUAACCCGCUCUGUGAAUUGCAGUAGGCAGAGAAAAGCCCUGUUUAAUGCAAAACAGGGCUUUUCAAUGCUACAUGAAUAGACCCUAAAAGGUAAUAGUGAGUGGCGUCAAUAGUAGAGGAACUAUCCCGCUGGCCUAGCUCCUCCCCAUUGUGUCGUGUCUCCUCCCCCUGUCACAAAAGGUCCCUUAGGCCACUUGAAUCUAGCAUCAAUGUGACGGUCAGAAGGUCCCUGCUCCCACUCCGAUUUAGAACCAACCAUUUCCAAAUGCGGAUAGAUGCCACUACCGACUCCCAUGACAUACAUAACCUACUUCAUGAAACACAUGAACCUACAGUUUUAACAACUUCUGGACGUGGAACUCCCUUUUUAAACCAGACAUGCUGUGCUCCGUUGUAUCUGCUUGAAAAAGGUAUUGCCAUACUGAACGCUUCAUGUGGUUACGAAGUUGUCAUCUGGCCGGCUGCAGAGAUCAGAAAUAGAAGCACCAGCAGGGGAAUUUGGAACUAUUGGUGUUUGUGAUAUGACUUCUGGCUUCUGUUAUCUGUGAGGAAACGGCGUUGGGCUGUAUCAGUGGUUCAUACAGUUUUUUGAAUCGCGGUGGCCUAGGGUAUCAAAAUUUUGUUUUCAGUGGCACCUCUAGCUCCAAUAUUUCUUAAUUGUGAAAUUCAGAAAUACAUUAAAUUAAGUAAAUUGUG